GACGAACGCUGGCGGCGUGCUUAACACAUGCAAGUCGAACGGAAAGGCCCUGCUUGCAGGGUACUCGAGUGGCGAACGGGUGAGUAACACGUGGGUGAUCUGCCCUGCACUUCGGGAUAAGCUUGGGAAACUGGGUCUAAUACCGGAUAGGACCGCACUUUAGUGUGUGUGGUGGAAAGUUUUUUCGGUGUAGGAUGAGCUCGCGGCCUAUCAGCUUGUUGGUGGGGUAAUGGCCUACCAAGGCGGCGACGGGUAGCCGGCCUGAGAGGGUGUACGGCCACAUUGGGACUGAGAUACGGCCCAGACUCCUACGGGAGGCAGCAGUGGGGAAUAUUGCACAAUGGGCGCAAGCCUGAUGCAGCGACGCCGCGUGGGGGAUGAAGGCCUUCGGGUUGUAAACUCCUUUCGCUAGGGACGAAGCUUUUUGUGGCGGUACCUAGAUAAGAAGCACCGGCUAACUACGUG
rnacentral:rRNA from 1 species